rnacentral:lncRNA from 1 species
CUACAUUUACUUGGCCGCCACAAUCCUUUUUUAUUGUAUGUGAAGGUCCUUUAUGAGCCUAUGUAUCUUUCAUUUUUUAGUUAAAGCUUUCACUUGAUAGGAAUUUGUUAUGGAAUUAAACUAAGCUUUAUUCUUAAGAAAUUAACAUCUAAGAUAUUAUCAGAAAAAGUUUUUCUGAGGUGAUGAAUGUUUUUAAGGAUGUAGCUGAAGAUGACUUGUAAUUUGCAUCCAAGUAGGAAUCUCUUUCAGGUAACACCUUUCAUUUUAAAACUUUACUGAAAAUCCUAGUUAAGUCUUUGUUUGGUUGUCUAUACAAGUGAAUACAAGUUUGGUUGUGAUAUUUUAAUAUUUGUUUUUGCUAAAGAAUUCCAAUUUGUUUUCCUUACUAGUAGAUUUUUAUGGAACGUAGAAUCUAUGAACUGGGAGAAUAUGUGUUAUGCUAAACAUGUAUAACAUGCUUUGUCUAUUUCAAAACAUGGAGAUAGUGUGUGUUGCCUUUAUGCAUGAAUUUUGUGCUCUUAUUAGUUAAGAUAUUUUAUGCCCAUAUUCCAAGUGUUCGCUUUUAUGUGUAGUUGAGUGUAUUACUUUUUGAUUAUAAGAUGCAAAGACACAAAGUCCAAAAGAAUAAAAUGUAUCUGUAGAAGCUACGGUAAAGGAGUAAAAUUCAUGUUUGUAAUAUUUUUCUUACCGAAGAAAACGCUUAUUAAUCUUGACUAACCAAUCAGGGUUGUGGUCGAGCAGUGAUUACUCCAUUUUUAAUUAGAGGUUCGGAUUUAAGUUUCCCUUGGUAAGGAGUGCAUUUGUUAGGGAGAGCUUUACUCCCAAUAUGAGACUUCCUAGUGCAAAUCUAAAUUUAGUCGGACUCCAAUGCGGGUACCAGAACAACGUGUGUGUAACCAAAAUAAAUAUUCAUUUGUGUUGCAAAUAAAAGAAAGCAUGGUAUUAAGUUAUAGCUAAAUGCCUAUAGUUAUAUUUGAGCAUGUCUUGUUAGACUUACUAUUUUAUUUGUGGUCCAAUUAAUGUAAAGAUCAUGAUUAUUAUUUAAUAAAGAAUUGAUCUCAUCCAUAUACCAGUUAUUUGAUAGAUAUAUCGGAUUAAGCCUUAAUUAAUUAAACUUUAUGAGUUGUUCCACUUUUUUCCAUUAGGGUUACUAUGUAUUCUCUAUAUCUUUUCCAUUGUUUUGGCUAUGGUAAAAUAAAGUUAGGGCAAGGGUUAAAAGUCAAUUUCACAACUAAAGUCCCGCUCUCCUUUGGGAUAAUGUUUUUGGCGUUAGAUAUAUUUUCUAUAACAUCUCUAUGUAAGAUCAUUGUAUUAAAGAUCUUGGGUAUGCGUUUAAUUUAUGCAUUAAUCAUACAUGAUGUAUAAAUUAAAUGCAGGACAAGGAUCUUUUAUAUGAUAAUCUCAUAGAACGACAUUAUAGAAAAUAUGCCUGAUGUGGAAGACAUUAUUGCACAGGAGAGCAGAAGCAUUAGUUAUAGAAUUGGUUUCAACCUUCUUUUCCUAACUCUAGGUUAACACAACCAUCAACGAUGGAUUAGAUGUAGAGAAUAUGUGAUAGCCCUAGUGGACAGAGACAUGAUCAAUGUAUAGAGGUUAAUAAUGAUAAUCACGUACGUUCAUUUAAUAACUGGUGUAUGGAUGAGAUUUAUCUUUUUUUAAAUAUUAUUUUACAAGAUUUUUCUUUAAUUGGGCCACAAAUAAAACAUUAAGUCUAUUAAGUAUGAAUAAAUAAUACUUUAUUUAUUGAUAUUGAAUGAUACAUUUUGUAUUCAUCCAAUUCAUGGAACUUUCGAGUUGUUGUCAUGGAGUUACUUCCUUAUCAGCCUUAAAGAUGGUGCUGACAAAUGCAGGCUUGAAAUUUGAUAACUUGGAACACUUACUAAGAUAAUAAUAAAUACACCAUAAUAUGUUCAUGAGACACUUGUUUAUUAUGUAAAGAUACUUAAAUAAUAUAAUCCUUAAAAAAGUUAAAGUACCAAACUGACAUUUAAUGCUAAAUUUAAAGGGUUAUAUAUGUGUUUACUCAAAAGUGAAGAAGGAUUAUAUAUGCUAAAACUCUUAAAGUACAAGGUUUUUUUCUUUCCACGAUACAAAAUGGAUUACGUGAUGGCACCUAUCACAUCAUCCGAUAUAGGUUAGCCUUCACAACCCAAACUCAAUCAUUAAAGUAAAUUAAAAGGAGAAGAACAAGAGUAGAACAAUCACUAAAAUAUAUAAAGAAGUAAUAAUUUAAUGAUACAUCCUACGUCUGGUUAUUGCUAGUACAAUCCUCUAAUUACAGAAUGACAUCAAUAAACUAAAGUAUCUUAAUGUGAGUAAAGCAUGAGAUAAAUAAAGAGGGAUAUUGCAGAGUUCGUGCCUAGGUGCAUUGUCAGUAGGUGAAGUACAUUCAAUUGAGGUUUGAGUCAGAGACUAUCCAUUUGUCUUCUUUCGUUGAAUCAUCAAAGAUAGGAGGAAGAAGAAAAUCAAAACUUCCUAAAGUUACAGGAUGUAAGGCAGUACUAAAAAUGCUAAUGUUGUUAUUUGCUACUUUUAGUUAUAAUGAUCUGCUAGAGGAUGAUUGUGUUCUAGGUGUGGUGCAGAGGGUAAUAAAAGAUGAGUAAAAAAUUGUUGUUCCGGUUGUACUCUACAAAAAGUAAAAGAAAACUUUUUUUGCACAGACCCUGAUGGCCUUAGUUAUAAAUUUUAUUAAAGUACUAGAUCUAAGAUUGUCGCGUGUCAUUGGGCUGGUGCAGUCACCUUCGAUAGAUACAACAAUGUAGAUAUUGUUGCAUGGAAUGUUCUUGCUAUUCAUUGGGGUCAUCACAAUAGUUCACUCGAGAGUUUACAGAUCUAAUUCGCGAGAGAAAGACAUAAAGGAUGAAAUUCGCCCCAUAGGAUGUGCCAAAAUUCAUUCUUGAAAAUUUUUAAAUAUAAGAAAUAUCUAAAUAUUGAAUAGAGGUACCACCCUAACCUAACCUACCAUAAGUAGCAAAAGCGUUUCUCUUGGGCCCAUAAGAUUUAAUAGAAGGACAACUAUCUGACAAAUAAAGUUAAGAAUGACAGUAAAAUCGUGUGAGUUUGACCUUAUGUGGGGUGAGCGAUUUUCGUUUUGUACGAAUGUGAGACAAGGCACUCUGGGAUGAAACAUUUUUCUUGAAAAUAUAAUGUGGAGCAAGAUAGGUUACGGGUUGGUUCAAAACUCAAGUUGGACACAUAAUUUGAUGAAAAUUAAACUUACAACCUCGUCAUCUCAACAACCUUGUAUAAAACUUUGAAUGAUCCGGUAGGGCUUGAUUUAAUCUAAUAAUAUGUAAUCUCCCACCAACGGUAUGGAUAGCAGAUCAAAUAAUUUUUUCGAGGGGCAUAAGAUUAUAAAUUCAUAUCAUAAUAUCUUACAUGUUAUGUCUUGUGCCCUUGAAGACCUAUGCGCCAAUAGGCAUAAGUUCGAUUUCUAAGAAUAAAGAUUAAAGGAGAACUCAUUUUAAUGACAAAAAUUAAAGGACAAUCCAUUUGAAUGGUUUAAUUUAACAAAAAGUCCACCCAUAGUGCGGGUACUAUACUAGUUUAAAAGGUUAAAGUGUAAAAUUGAUACUUGAUACUGUGUUUACCAGAUUUAAGGACUCGUUGAUAAAUAUAUAUUGAGGGGUAAAUUUUAAAACAUAAAAAGUGAAUGCCUUUUGUGCUCUGUAAAAUAGUCUGCUCUUCUUCCUCAAAGCCCUCAAAACCCUUCUUUUCAAUUAUAGUCGCCACCCUCUUCUCCUAUGGCCAUUAAAGCUUUUACUUCCUUUGGUUAUUAAUAGUUUUCCUAAGAUAACAUACUAGGAGUUCUUUAGCAAAAAAAAAAAAAGAAAAUAUCACAACAAGAUCUUGGUCAUUAUUGCAUAUAAAAAUUAAGAAAAGAUCACACAAUAAAGAUGUUAGAAUUUAAAAGGAAGAAACAACACCAGAUCAAUAAACAAUAUAACUCAUAGAAAAGCAAAAGCCAUCAAUUUGGUAAUACUAGAAUUUGAUAAUUAAUUGUUUUUCCCUCGUAGAAGCCUACUACAAUUGCAUCAUUUAUCGUCUUUCUGAUGAACAAGUAGACAUAUUUUGUGGUGCUCUUAUUUUGACAAAUUGAAGUUUGUUGUUGGAGGUGAGCUUCAUGGUAUUCCUCUUAGGUGCAUAUGCAAGGAAUCACAGAUGGGAGGGAAGCUCAUCUCACAAGAUUAGAUGGUUACGGAGAUUUGCUUAAGAAAUUGGAGAUGUUUGAGAUUGAAGGUGAACUUCGUAGAUCAACCUAGAAAUGACUGGUAGUCUACACGGAUGACGAAGAAGAUAUGAUAGAUGGUUAGAGAUGAUGUGCGCCAGACUUACACGUGCAGUUGGGCGGGUGUUUUGGAGAAAUCUCAAGACUUACCACCAAAGAUCAUCUCCAACCAUCAUCAUAUCAUCUUCGUCAUUCGUGUAGACUACCAGCCAUUUCUUGGUUGAUCCACGAAGUUCACCUACUAUCUCAAACAUGUCCAAUUUCAUAAGCAGAUCUCCAUAACCAUCUAAUCUUGUGAGAUCAACUGCCCUCCCAACUGCCUGAAUUCCCUUGCAUAUACACCUAACAAGAACAUCAAGAAGCUCAACUCAAACAACAAACUCCAAUUAGGCUAAAUAAGGGCACCACAAAAGAGGUCUACUUAUUCACCAGAAAAACUAUAAACGAUGCAAUUGUAGUGGGCCUCUACGAGGGGAGUUCCAUCAAUAACCAAAUUGUAGUAUUACCAAAUUGAUUUCUUUUGUUUCUCUAUAUGUAAAAUCGUUUAGGUGUUGAAUCUUCCUAUUAAAUGCUAAUAAAUUUAUUAUGUGAUCUAUUAUCAGUAUUUCUAUGCAAUAGCUAGCCAGAACUAGAUGUGAUGUUUUGUUUUUCUUUGCUAAAGAACUCCUAUAUACUUCCUUAGUAAACAAUUAUUUUCCUCAAGACAAGGGUGUUUCGGUAACAACCUCUCUUACCCUGCUUCCAAGUUUGCGUGAAGAUACAAUCAACCCUUCCAGACUCCACAUGUGGGAUUACACUAGCUAUGUUGUUAUUUUAUUAUUGUCAGUAAGAACAAAACAUCAAGCUCAACGAACUAUUGCCUGCAUAAUUACAGCAGCAGCAAGCACAACUGCUUCUUGCACAGUUACAGCAGAAGCAGGGAGCAAAUCCGAUGCUUGCACAACUAAAGGAGCAGCGAGCAGAACUGCUGCCUCUAUAGUUAUGCAAGCAGUGGUUAUGCUCACUGCUGCUGUAAUUAUGAAAGCAUGGGUUGUAGGGUUAUGCUCGCUGCUUUGGUUAUGUUUGUUGCACUGCUGCUGUACUGAACUUUCAUAUCCCAAGACUUGUGGAGUAAGAAAGCAAACUUUAGAUGUUUGUUUGAUUUUUGCAGCGUAGUUGGAGUCUUGUUGAAGAUGGAUCUUUUCAUUAUUUUGUGGUCAGGCUUUGGUCAUGCACAACUGACAAAAUAUUGAAGACAUUUACAACAUGCCAUAUGCGUAGAGCUGAUAUGCCAAGUGCUGCUUUUUUUCUAUGUAAUUGGAUGUAAUCACUUUUGAAUUAUAAUAUAUUGGUGUUUAUAGUUAAUUAAUGUUAAUGUUUCUGAAUCUAUUCUUCGUGUACUGCUAGAUUCAAUAUGUCUUGCUAAUUGUUGAGGAAUCCUCUUGGUAGUCUUAUACAGGAUACACCAAUAUUAGUGUGCCAUCAUACAAAAAAAUUUUGUAUGUAGAAUUUAAAAAAAAUGAACUGCUCCCACUAACUUUUUCUCUUGUAAAGAUUUUUUCAAACUGCACAACUUGCUUAAAUAUAUAUGUAGUAUACUUUCUCUUUUUGUAAAAGUGGAGGUAUUUGGUCCAAUUGAUGUAGAAUAUUGUGUCAACGUGUAUGGAUUAAACUACUUGGAUUAUGUAAAAUAUCUGGAACCUGUUUUCUUUAUUUUACGACAUUUUACAUGGUUGCGAUUUGAAAAGGUUUUAAGAGAAACUCAUAGGUGAAAAGGUCUUAUGUAAGUGACAAUAUGCCUUUUGGCUGGUCAUGCCUUUGAUGCAAGAAUGUUAGUGAGCUCAAGUGACAAUAUGCCUUUUGGCUGGUCAUGCCUUUGAUGCAAGAAUGUUAGUGAGCUCACAUCCAAAGGUAUUAGGAAAUUUAAAAUAUGAUUUUGGAACUGAGCUUAUACUUUCAUUAUUUUUAGCUUAUUUUCUAUCUUUGUAGAUGAAGGAUUCUUAUGAGACAAGGAGGCGAACAACAAAAGAAUAAGGAGCUUGCGCCUUUGCUACGGUAAAGGAAUAAAAUGUCCGAAGUGGGUUUAGAGCAAACCAUGUUCGUAAUUUUUUGCUUGCUGAAGAAAAUGUUUUUUGUUUCUUAUAUCUAAGUUGGAAUCCAAAUUUUCUUGUUUAUUGGGUGUUGCAACAUAAAGGAAGCAGGGUUUCAAGUUAUUGCUAAAUGUGUAUACUCGAAUUUGAGCAUGUUUUUCACAUCCAUUAUAGUUGUCUUAUUCUUUUC